rfam:Otolemur garnettii contig034757, whole genome shotgun sequence.
CGGUGUGAGGGUCACCUGGCUGCCUCAUCUGUCACCACAGUGAGCUCUAGCAUUGAUUCAGCUGAUCUGGCUGGCAAGGCUGUCCCUUUCCUCCCCCACUGCUUAGUGUGCACCUCCCAAAGCUGCUCACUCCGUCCAAAAGGAUGGCCUUCCCCGAUAAAUGAGGACCAUUCUUUGGUUGAGGGCAUAGAGUAGCUGCUAGAACAUUCCUCUGCUAGAACCUCCAAACAAUCAAGGUCCCAUUCUCUUUUUGCAAAGAGGAAUGGGUUUUGCCCUGGAGUGACAUCACCACAUCCAGGGCUGGCCCUAAAACCUGACCUGCGAUCUUCUAAACUCUGCCUCACUCU